rfam:Parasitella parasitica strain CBS 412.66 genome assembly, contig: contig_11752
GGGGAUGGUGUAGUGGUUAGGGCAUUACACUGGAACCAUAAAGGUUGUGGGUUCGAAUCCCACCAUCCUCA